GGGGGAGGAGCAGAGAGAGAAUGAGACACAGAAUCCGAAGCAGGCUCCGGGCUCCGAGCUGUGAGCACAGAGCCUGUUGUGGGCUCAAACCCACAAACCAUGAGAUCAUGACUGAGCCAAAGUCAGACACCCAAAUGACUGAGCCACCCAGGCACCACCCCCCUAGCUUUUAUUUUAAUGCAUGCAUUUGUUUUGUGGAACACAGUUUGGAAAUGCUGCAGGUAGAAAAAUAUGAAAAAUGUCUACAAACAUUUUUCAAACUUUAGAUAUUAAAAUGUAUUUGGUCUCAUAAGCCUCUUUUUUUAUAUUGGUGAUUGACUUUUGUUACAAAGUGUUUGUUCAUAAAAAUACCACUGCAUGCAUAUACAUAUACACACAGACACAUCUGUAUGCAUAUGCACAGAUGGACACACAUGCUUGUAUACAGGCAUGUGCACACAUACAUGUAUACACAUACGCACACAUACAAACACGUAUAUAUACACAUAUAUACGCAAUACAUCAUAUACACAUACAUAGGUGUAUGUAUACACACAUGUGCACAUGCAUAUACACCCAUACGCGUGCUCAGACACAUACACACAUGUGCACACACUUACACAGGUGUAUACCCACCCUACAUACACACGCGUGUAUACGUAUAUAGGCAUCGACAAAUACUGGAGGACUCUGUGCUAAAGUGGGAGCAGCUCUCACCUUUUGGGGUGAAAUCCCAGAGGACUGAAUCCAUCUGUGCGGUUUUCUCCACCAUUUCUAUGGUUAUUUAUUCCUUUUGUAUUAAGGCAAAAAUAACCGUGAGAUGCCUUCUUUUGUUUUUUUACCAUGGCAUUUAAGACCGUCUGCUGAGCGCCACUCUGAGGGACAGCUCGCACGUGCCCCCGUCAAGGUGACUGCACAGAGGGUGUCUCCCACGUCAGAUUUCUGGAUGAGGGAGCGUCAACGCAAAUGUCAGCGGGGGAGCUCCUCUGACCCGCUAAUGGGCUGUGUCCCGAUUCGGCCUUCCUUUCGAGGGUCACUCUGGUGUUUUCUCAGCUGGUGAAGCCCUGACCCGCUCUGACAAUUAUUACUUCAUGUCGAAAGGGCGCCGUGCUGAGCUGUCUAAAUCUGACAGGAAAAGAUAGAGCGGCCCCCAUCAAACUCUGGGCCACGAAGCUCCAGCAGAGGGUUAAAGGUUCUGGAAUGUUCUGUGGAAAGACAUAACAGCCUUUCCUGCGCUGCCUCCUGCUAGCCUCCUAAAUAAGAUCUCACCAGCCCGUGGCCUCCCUCUGCGUUGGAGCUGAUGCCCUCAGACGGUAGCCCCAUCUCGGGGCCUGGGUCUGUGCACAGAAAAUGGGCCGAGAAAACGGGCCCCGGGGGCUGCCAGCUGACCACCUUCAGGGAGAAUAACCCGAAUCUCCUGGAAUUUGUUCCGAGGGGAAGUGGUGAGGGCGCUCUCUAGUAUGAUGAGAAAUGACCUAUUUAAAAUGCCAGCUGGGCGCCUGGGUGGCUCUGUCGGUUAAGCCUCCAACUUUGGCUCAGGUCAUGAUCUUGCCGUUUCCGAGUUCGAGCCCCGCGUCAGGCUCUGUGCUGACAGCUUGGAGCCUGGAGCCUGUUUCAGAUUCUGUGUCUCCCUCUCUCUCUCCUUUUCCCUUGCUUGUGCUCUCUCUCUCUCAAAAAUGAAUAAACAUUUUUUUUUCAUUUAAAAAAAAUUUAAGUGGAUUAUUUCACUUAAACCAUUCUUUCAACACUUAUUUGCACACGCCCGAAAUGCCAGCAAGGUUCUAGGUGCUGUGAGAUAGUGGUGGACAAAAGAGACAAAGUCCCAUGGAGAAUCAAAGGGCGAUUUAUACACACAGUGCAAUAUUAUUCAGCCUUAAAGAAGAAGGAAACCCUGUCACGUGCCGCCACGUGGAUGGAUGCUGGGGACAGACGCUAAGUGAAAUAAUCCAGGCACAAACAGACGAACACUGUAUGAUCCCACUCACAUGAUAGAGACCAAGUGCCUGCUCUCGAGGGGUCCAUGUUCUAGAGGAGACGUCUCUAGUCCAGCGGCUGCACCGGACUUGGGGUUCAGAGUGAUGAUCUCAUGCUCUGUACAGCCCUCCUUGCUGAGGCUCCCGCACGGAUGAGUGAAGUACGCGCCCAUUUUCACCUUGGGCGCCGGCCCGGGGUACAUGCUGACACCCUGAGGGGUCCUUGAACUAUCACACAGCCAUGCUGCAGCCUGCUUCUCCGAUGCCGCUGGGCACAGAGCUACCAGCCCCAGGGAUUCUGCCCACUUCCUUCGUCCCCUGGGGGCACAUCAGCCCAGGAUGUCUUCCUGAUGGCUCCCGGACCACAAGAGGAGCCCUGUGCAGAAUCAUCAGUAAUGGUUAAGACUUCCGGCUAAGCAGUGCCCUCCUCCUGAGUGUCUGACGUCAGCUCUCAAGUGCUCCUGCGAAUUGAGGCGAAAAAGCGUGAGUGACUUUCGAGGGACCAGUUAGAGACGAUCCGCUUUAUGUGUGUAAGGCACUUGAUAACACUUCUCGUUUGUGCUGGCAUUCACGUCCUCGCAGCGACCCAAACCUAGAGUCACCUCCAUCUGCCGCCUGGACUGCCGGCAGCAUCCACCCUUGUUCCUUUAAUUCAUUUUCCACCACAGACGGGAAGGAUCUUUCUAGCACGCCGUUUGUCACGUCCUUCUUCUGCCUGAAACUCUUCCAUGAUCUCAACUUUCCCUUUCAGAAUGAUCUUGAAGACUCUGGAGGACCCUCAGGCAGUUCAUGAAGCCCGAGGCUUGUUGUUAACACUGUGACCGUCUUCAGUGAACUCCUGGCUGGGCCCUGCUGACACUCUCUGCCUCCUUUUCACUGCCUUGUCUGGGAGCCUCUCCAGUCUCAUCUCUGACUCUGGGCCCUUCACGCCCUUUCUCCCAGCAGACCACCCCAGGGCAGCUGAGCCGGAGAGGAGGCCACCAUGUUCUUCUGUCGCCUGCCUCCGCGGCUUCCCAAGCUAUCCCUCUGCUCUGCGUGGCCAGGAGUGGAGACGGCCGAGGAGCAAGACACCAGAUGCUGCUGCUAGGGCUUGGCAUUAGGGAGGGUGGCUCACCUCGCCUGGCCCCCGGGGGAGAGCGCCGGGGAGGGACCUGCUUUUGAAGAACACAGAUAGAAAGGUCCAGCGAGGAACACUCUUCACGCAGCAAUUAACAGGCCAGAGUGGCACCAAGUGGAUAUUGCAGUCUUGUGGCUGGGGCACAGUGCCAUCAGGGCUUGGGCUCCAGAAGGGGCCAGCUGCACAUUCCCACAAAAGGUUGAGCAGCUGGCAUUACUGGUGGAAAAGCCAGUUUUCGAAGGGUGAUUUCCUGGCUCCUCUAAUUAAUGAGAAGCAGAGAUUUCAGGAUGGCAAAUAGAACUCCCUCUGGCCAGAUGCACAGAUUUUUGCUCUUUUGCUUCCUUGUUUUUCAUGCCUCUAAGUCUUUGCAAAAGACUAAAUAAUAAUCAUAAUAAUCAUAAGCCUUUGGGGAGGCUCCAGUUUUCAAAUGGAAUAGAAACACACAGGGCUGAACGGAGGGGAUCCAAGAGGCUCCCAGGCCCCACACCUUGCCCUGGAAAGCACGGAGCCCAGACCCUCUCUCCCUUGGCCUCCCUGCUAUAAUCUUCCUUACACACAGACUGGAUGUUUUCAGUGCUCUCAGAAAUUCCUAGAGUCUCCACUUCCCUGUAGAGUAGGAUUCAAAUGCCCCCCACCGGGAUCCAAAAGUCCUCUGUGGUUCCCCAUUCUUCCAGGUCAAGCUAAGCCCCGUUUCUAAAAAAAAAAAAAAAAAAUUUCCUAGGGGUACAUGAUGUUCUCAUCUUCAAACCCUUUGUGGGCCGGGUGGGGACCCAGGGUGCCGUGUCCCUUCUUGUGCCAGAGUGGAGGGCUCAGCCCAGCCCAGCAGGCAGCCUUGCUCUGGAGCCCCUGGCUCUCCUACCAGAGAUCUCAGAGUCAUAGAGUGUCAGAGCUUGGUCUAACCUGGCCACUUUAUGAAAGAGAUAGUGAGGUCCAGAGAGGGCCAGGGGCAUACUCCACAUCACCCAGCCAGCUACUGGCUGUGUCUCCCGCUGCCAUGCUGGGAGCCUGGGGUUACUCUCCUAAGUUCUCCUUGGUUGAUUAUUCUCCCCUGGCCGAUUAUUCUCCACUGUCUCUGACAGUGGCUUGUAAGGGGAAGUGAAUUCAGCGUGAACAGGUAUUAUUGGAAGAGAGACACAUGGAGAAUGGGUGAUGGGUUGUUGGUUUUUUGGUGGUUUUUUUUGUUGUUGUUAUUUUUUUGCAUUUCCUUGGUGACCUGUGCCCCAUUCGUUCUCACUGUUUGCAGAGGUGGUCCUAUCAUCAUCCCGAGGCCCGGCUGGGGCUGGAUGGGCUGGCCUUCCACGGUGGCCCGGACUGCUGCUCCUCGUGAUCUCAGGGGUCUGAGUUUAUUGUGGAGGCUGCUGGGCUGGUGGAUUCCUUCUUCCCUGUGCUCACCCCAGAGGAGUUGCCACAAAGUGCUGAUCUUCUGGUCUCAUUGAAAGUAGCACAUUCACGUGAAAGGGGCCCCGGGAGAGCAUUUCCACGCCCAAGUCACCGAAGCGUCUGCGUAAAGCUCCGGGCCAGGUCAACUGUUCCCAUUUUGUGAUACUGCAAGUGACCCUUCGGUGUCUGGGAAUGCAUUUUUCUGGUGUAUCAGUUCCUCUAGAGAAGGAUCGUCUAUCCAUUGGCUUGGGAUUUCCCCAUUUGUGGGCGUUCUGGAGCCAGGAAGGAGCAGAGGGCGAGCUGUCUCACCUGUCAGUGUGCAAGCCUUCCUUCAAUUCCCUUACAUCCAGUCCUGGACCCUCCACCACCACCUCCUCAAUACCUGCCAACUGUGAGGAAAGUGAGGUCUGGAUAAAGUAAGUGAUUUAUUCAACAGCUCUCCUGAGAAAAUUAGUGGCAGAGCAAGGUCAUGUGCCCACAACCGCUUUUAUGAUUCUACUUUACCACUUGGAUGUUUUGAGGAACAAAAAAUCACCUUGGACCCACGCCUGGAACCCUGAUCUCUGAUCUCCUACUUUUGGAAUCAACCCACUUUGAGAUGCAGGGCCCAGACUUUUUAAAGCUCUGUGGUCUAUGGAUUCACCAUACUCUAAGUGUUGGUUGCCCACUUCCGUCCCUCCUCCCUGGAUACUGACUGCCUCUAGAUCCAACCUGGGUGUGUAUAUGGGAGAUAUUCCAUGAUGGAUCCUGAAGAGAUGUGAAGACAUGGGAAGUUGGGAUUGUCUCCCUAUAAGACAAAUGCUCUUGGAUCGAUCCAACCAGCAGGCAUUCGCUGAAGGCUACCUGCGCACACAAAGCUAAAAUAAAAUACAUGGUGAUACCAAAUGCUAUUUUUGUUGUGAAAGAAAUACCUUGGAAUUCCAUUUUCAGAGAAUUCUUGGGGCGGUCAGGUCUCUUUUUCUCAAAGCGAGGCCCUUCUUAGGCAGCCCACAAAGAGGAAGGGCCUCAGGCCUCUCUGUCAUGGGCCAAGGGUAACAGUUCAUUCUAUGAGGCCAGAGAAGACAGUACUUUGCCUGAGAUUCCUUGUGUCGAGUUGCUGUCUUUCCCUCUAAGAAUCAGUGCAUUCCCUGGCUUAUGGCCUCCUUCUGUCCUCAGAACCAGCAAUGACCGGCGAGUAUUUCUCGCAAUGUACUACUCUGAACACUGAGUGUUCUGCCUUCCACUUCCACAUUUAAGGACCUUUGUAAUUACAUUGGGCCCACCCAGAUGAUCCAACGUAAUCUCCCUACUUAAGAUCAGUUGAUAAUCAACCUUAAUUCCAUCUGCAACUUUAAUUCCCCUUUGCCGUGUGUAAUGUAACAUAUUUGCAGGUUCCAGGAAUUGGGACACCGACAUCUUUAGGGAGCUAUCACCACAAGGAUCAAGUAUUCAGUUAACACUAAGUGCCAGGCAUUCAGCUGACAAUGUAUGACCUGGGAGACAGCUCAAAGUUCAUUUGUCCCAACUGAUCUACUCACCCCCACUCACUCCUAUUCCCAAAUUUAUUCCUCUUCUUGGAUGAUUUUUCUAUGUUGUUGACAUGACAAUCUGCCCAGUUACCUAGGGAAGAAAAUUUGGCAUUAUCUUUACCACCCCUCGCUUUCCCUCAUUAUCUCACCCCGUCCAGCCUGUCUGCCCAUUUCCCUAAGUGUAUUUGUGCCCACCCUCUCCUCUGCCCCUCUCCUGCCUCAGUUCAGGUUCAAAGGGCUCAGCUGGGCAACUACAACAGCUUCCCAGCUGGAUUUCCUGUCCACAUACUGCUUCUUCCAAACUGUACCCCACACAACAUCUAGAGUUAUCUUUUUUAAAAAUAGAGUUUAUAUUAUAUUAUAUUAUAUUAUAUUAUAUUAUAUUAUAUUUAUUUUUAAAGUUUAUUUAUUUAUUUUGAGAACGUGAGAGAGGGAGAGGGACAGAGGGAGAGAGAGAAUCCCAAGUGUGUUCCAUGCUCAGUGUGGAACCCAGUGUAGGGCUCGAUCCCAUGAUCUUGGGACCACGACCUGAACAGAAAUCAAGAGUUGGUUGUUCAACUGACUGAGCCAUCCAGGUGCCCCUAGAGUUGUCUUUUUUUUUUUUUUUAAAUUAUACUUUUCUUUGUUUUGAGAUAAUUACAGAUUCAUCUGCAGUUGUAAGUAAUAAUAUAGAAAGAUCUGUAUCCCCUUUACCCAGUUCCCCCAUUGAUAAUUUCUUUUUUUUUUAAUGUUUAUUUAUUUUUGAGACUGAGAGAGACAGAGCAUGAAUGGGGGAGGGUCAGAGAGAGGGAGACACAGAAUCCGAAGCAGGCUCCAGGCUCUGAGCCGUCAGCGCAGAGCCCGAUGUGGGGCUCGAACUCACGGACUGUGAGACCAUGACCUGAGCCGAAGUCAGAUGUUUACCCGACUGAGCCACCCAGGCGCCCAGAUAAUUUCUUACAAAAUAAUAAUACAAGGUCACACCCAGAAUACUGACACUGAUAAAGUCCAAGAUGUGGAACAACUCCAAUAUCACAAGGAUCCCUGUGUUGCCUAUUUAAUUUAUUUACUUUAAACAAUGGAGCCUGUAUGACUCAGUCGGUUAAGCAUCCAACUUUGGCUCAUGUCAUGAUCUCACAAUUGGUGAGUUUGAGCCCCACACCAGGCUCUGUGCUGACAGCUCACAGCCUGGAGCCUGCCUCGGAUUCUGUGUCUCCCUCUCUCUCUGCCCCUCCUCUGCUCAUGCUCUCUCUCCCAAUCUCUCUCUCAAUCUCUCUCAAAAAUAAAAUAUGACAUUAAAAAAUUGUGGUAAAAUGCACACAUCAUAACAUCUAUACACUCAUAACCCAUCUUUUCUCUUGUUGAUGGAAAAUUAGAUUGUUUCUAAUUUUUUUCUGCUUUUAACAACAUUGGAACAAAUAGUCUCAGACGCGUUUCCUUGGAGACAUGAGCAAAAGUUCUCUACUCAAGAAGGGAAUGCCUGGGCCGCAGAUCAGGAGAAUAUUCAACCUUGCUGGAUCUUGUCAAGUUUUUAUCCAAGGAAGAUUCUACUACUUUAUUCUCCCCAGCAAUUUGAAAGUUCCCUUUUCUCCACACAGAAGAAUCAGUUUUUUGUCCUGCAAAGGCUAUUCUGUAAAGAGUGAGUUGGGUGGGGGCGCAACAGGGGUCCAGGCACAUGGGAGUUAAGAGCCAGGUCAGCCGAGUUUCCUCAGGUCAAAACUUGCGGUCAAGAACUUUCUGCAAAGGGAGGCCAUAUUGUCUGUUCACAUUCUCCCUGGUAUCAUGGGGCUAGCAGGAACGGAAUGAUGUGCUUCUCAAGUGUUAUCCAUCAGAUGGAGAAUUGUGUGGGCAACCAAACUUCUCUUCGUUAUAGAAAAUUAUUAUUUAUUUUUUUAUUUAACAAAACUCAAGGCUGAGAGCGUGCUCCAUUGUGCCCUUCUGUGUUUUACGUGUUUUCUCUGCUUUGGCUCAGCCCCGGCUGUUUGUUAAUGCAUGUGUUGUAUUGCAAAUGUGGAACAAAUGAAGCUGAGAUAUCAAAUUAAUACUGUGAUCUGUUUUUCUGUUUUGUUGCCAUAACAAUCUGUGGCUCUUGAAGCAAAGAGAAAAUUAGAAUUGUAUUAAAGGUGUUUACACCAUGUACACUCCAUCCUGCAUUAUUGUUUAUUGCUAUAAUAAGUGUAUUUAACAUUUGCUUAAGGAGGGUUAACUGCUAUUGGUUUUUGCUAAUGGUUUUUCUGCUCACCUUUCCAACCUGGUUUUGCUUUUGACCUUGACUUGUCCUAUAGUUCACAGCAGGAAGGAAUAGGGAGUUUUGGUCAGAUGCCUAAUGACAUCAUGACUCCCUUAUGCUUAUUCCUCCCCUCUGCUCCCCAAUCUUUUUUUUUUUUUUAACUUUUUAAAAAUGUUUUUAUUUAUUUUUGAGACAGAGAGAGACAGGGCAUGAGCAGGGGAGGGGCAGAGAGAGGGGGAGACACAGAAUCCAAAGUAGGCUCCAGGCUCUGAGCUGUCAGCACAGAGCCCGACGCGAGGCUCGAACUCACGGACUGUGAGAUCAUGACCUGAGCUGAAGUCGGACGCUCAACCGACUGAGCCACCUGGGCGCCCUCCCCACCCCUAAUCUUUAGAGCAAUUUGAAGUCAGGAGUCUUGGUUAGAAACAAAGCAGGACCUGGAAUAAAUUUUCCUUCUUUUCUUUGCCCCAGUCCUGUCUUUUAAACCUGAAUAAGAGGCCCAACAUCCUUUGGGAGAGAUGAAGAGAAACUGAGAAAUUGGGGAAAAGAGAGGUGGAAGAAUUUAUGCCUUAGAAGCAGUUGUGUGGAAAUCGAUACGAAUGGAGAAUUGGGGUGAUGGUCCCCCGAGGUAGUCUUCCAUAUUACCCUAUUCCCAAGGUUAGAUACUCAGAGCCUUCUUUGACUGAAGUCCUUACUGCCCCAGCCAUCACAGGCCACAAUCUGCUGAGUCACAAGGUGACUGAAAUGGUGAGGCUGGUGUGGGGGAAACGCCUCUCUCCCACUAACUAAAUAAACUUACCCACUUGGCUGCCCGUUGGGGCUGUCUGGUUUUGUAAGCUCUUUGAAGGCAGCUGCUGUUCCCGCUCCUUUUCUCAGCCCACCAUCCCUAGAAAAAUGUAGGGCAAACAUGAGAAACUCCAGAACUUCAGUCGUUCAUUGUCUGGGUCAUUGUAACAUAUCUAAAGAACAUCCUAGUACUGCGGGAAGAUUGUUUAAAAAUGUACAACUCUUGGUGGAUUGCGCCCAUGUUAGAGUGUCUGUGGUUCCAGAGAUGAUAGAAGGAAAAGAGAUAUUUCUGACGCUUCUCACAAGAGUCAGCGCUGCAGAUGGUCUUUGUCUAUUUUCUUCUAGGUUGGGGUAGAACGUGUAGGGAACCUCCACCUAGUGACUGUGUAAGAAGAUCAGUGCCGUAGAGGCCCUGGUUCGUGACAGAUUUAAAACCUGUCCUGUGGGCACCUGGGUGGCUCAGUCAGUUAAGCAUCUGACCCCGGCUCAGGUCAUCUCACCGUUUGUGAGUUCAGGCCCUGCAUUGGGCUCACUGCUGUCAGUACAGAGCCCACUUUAGAUCCCCUGUCCCCUCCCUCUCCGCCCCUCCCUCACUCUCUCUCUUUCUCUCUCUCAAAAAUAAAUAAACAUUACAAAAGAUGUCCUUCUGUUGUCCUUUACUGCCCAGGGGGUCUGGAGUCAAGCCUAAAGGUCAGGGCAGAAUGAAGGCCCUUUCUUGGGCGAAUCUCUUUUUGGGCACAAUAGACACAGACCUAGAGUGAGCCUUGGUUAUGUCAGCAAUACAGGCCAAAAAAAGCCCAUUAGUUCUAAGAAAACCAACCUCUCUCUCAAGGCUAAAGUUAUCUUCUUUCUCAGAUUCUUGUCCUUGGAUGUGCACAUGUGUGUGCCCACGCGCACGCACACACACACACACACACACACACACACUUAAAAAGAAAGGAUAAAGAAAGAAAAUGGGUUUGGAGGUCCAGGUUAGCGCGUGAGCGGUCACAGUAUUAUCACGCAGGAGGCAGCUGCUUGUGACUAUGGCAACUUCAAUCCCGAGGGAGAAGUGUGAAAUGGAAGGAAUAUUAAUCAGGUCGGGGGAAGGAAGAUGCAUUCGGAAGGGAUGGGAGUGGCAGAGGGGCCCAAGAGGGCUGGGUAGGGCCGGCUCUGGUGCAUUUUCGGGAAAAGCCAUCAUGCACUGUUGGUCUCCCUUGUCUUGCCUCGGGCCCCACCUUUCCGCCUGGACGCCCCCAUCCCGAGUCUAGGGCAGAGGCCGCCUCUGGAACUAGGUACUAAGAAGCAUGAGGCAAGGUGCGGACAUCCCCAAACACGGCCUUUUUACUUUUAGGAAUAACUGGUUUGAAAUGUUCCGUCUAGUCUCAAUGUCGCUCACUCAGGCAUCUCUGACAAGGGUGAGGGACCACAGUUAAUUCCUUUGUCCUGGUGGCUCUACUGUCUGUGCCGCCGGAGCGAGCACUGUCUCCAUGGAUCUCAGUUGCUUGGAAAGUGUCACAUCCACUACUUGAAUUCAGUCACCGAUUCUGACUAUCAGAGUUCAUAUCAUGGUGUGUUUAUUCUCGUGCUGGAUCCUUCACCGAGGUGCAGACUUGUGAAGUAACUUGUCCAGGCUCACACAAAGAGUGAACACCGCACUUUAGAGCACUUUGCCAUUCUGCUCGCUUAAACAAGCGCCAGCGUGUAUGUGUGUGACGAAGGGCCACCGGAGCUCUGCUGAAUGUUCUUUGGUUGAAUUCCCGGGUGACUACAUGGUCUGAAUGUCAGCGACUAAAACACAGUUACAAGAGAGCAGCUCUCGGUAACUAUGCUUACGGAAACGUGUGCUUCCUACCUUGCAUGAUACAUGACAGUUUCAUUUGUUCCAAAUAAAUUCCUAACACUAUCCAUCACCAUGGAUUCUGCUGAUAAAAUGCCCCUAUUAUGGUUCCUUUAAAAACAUUUAGGAAACGUGUGCAUUUUUAUUUGUGAGGGUGGGUAAUAUUGUGAAAUAUUAACAUAAUCUCGCACCUCUCAAGGACACACACAUUUUGCUCCUCAGCGCUACCCUUGAUGGAGGGCGUCAGCAAACAGGCCUCCGUUUUCCCAGAGUAGGUUUGGCAGACUUAGCAAAUACAUAUCUAGGAUGCUCAGUUCACUCCGAAUCAGAAAAAUGACAAAUAAUUUUUAGCAUAAUUAUAUCCUAUGCAAUAUUUGGGACGUAUACUAACAAUUUUUUGUCAUUUACCUGAAAUUCAAACGUCACUGGGUGACUCGUAUUUGCUCUGACAACCCAACCCCAAAGGAGGGUGAAAUCAAAGAAGAAAAGUAACAAAUGCUUGGCUUUUUUUUUUAAAUUUUUUUUUUUACGUUUACUUAUUUUUGAGACAGAAACACAGACCGAGGGGCGGGGUGGGCAGAGAGACAGGGAGACACAGAAUCUGAAGCAGGCUCCAGGCUCUCAGCUGUCAACACAGAGCCUGACGCAGGGCUCGAACUGAAGGCGCGAGAGAUCAUGACCUGAGCGGAAGUUCGACGCUCAACUGAGCCACCCAGGCACCCCACAAACGCUUGGCUUUUAAGUUUAAAAACUGUGAUUUAGUGUAAAAUAAAAACACUGGGAAGACUGCUUGCCGAGUGUUUUUAUUUAUCUGCAUGGGAGAAAAGAACCGUGGCCUGGGUAAGGGGCAGGGGCUGGAGCCAGAAAAGGAAGAGACGGUGCUGACUGUAACGGUUCCUUGCUCCGCAAAGAACAAUACUUUCCCCAACUACCCUGGAGGAUCCUAGAGCAGCCGGGCUUGGGAACCGGGACGGAGGCGUGGCUCGCGGUAGCACCACCCACUCCCGCCCCCCAGUCCCAGAGUGCAGUGCGCAAGGAACUUCCCAGCGUUCCUCGCGGCGCCGCAGAUCAGCCCCGCCUUUGGGAGGUCACCCCAGGGCGGGGGACCCACAGGGCUUCAGCCAAGGUCAAGAGCUGGGUCAGGGGCUGACUGCUGGGAAAGCCACCACAGGACCCGAGGACGCAGGAAGCGCCUGCCGCGUGGAGCCUCACUACUGGCCUGCCAGCAGGUCUUUAUCCAGAAGCAGCAAGAUAGUUAAAGAAUGGAAACGGAUCAAGGGUGAAAUGGACAACGAAACCUGGCCACGAGCUCUAACGUGGCAGAAAUGGGCAGGCUGUGUGGGACGGAACCUGGAGCUCUCCAGGGAGUCCCUAGGGUUUGGGCUGAAGUACUUCUGGAAGCGAGUUGCCUCACUCUGCCUCAGCCUGCCAUGGUGACAUGAGCCUCUUCAGAGAUGAACUGCUGUUGAGUGAGCCGUCUGUGAGCGCUUAAAGACUCCACACGGUACCACUGCCAGCCGGGGCCUUUUCCACUCAGCCUUAUUUCCUCCUUUCCAAGGCCUCGUGCUUCUCUAUAUAGGUCAUCAAUCUUUAGAGCAAGAGGGUACCAAUAAAAUCGUCUAAUCCAGAACUUCCAGUUUUCAAAUGGGACUCUGAAGCCUGGGGUGGCUGGGCAGUGCUUUGCUGAGGUUUCUGCAGGUGCCUGCCAGAUUUGGAACUGGACCCACGUGUCCACUUUUCUAUUAAAACACACUGCCUCUCAGAAGAAGAGAACCAAAGCACGCCCCUGUGAAAGCUGCAACUAGCUGUCAGCCACAGAAACCUACGAGUGAACGAACACACGUUCUGAGGAUUAGAAAAGAGCCGGGGCGACGAGGGCUGGGUACCUUUGAGGCCAAAUGAAUGUAGAUCGCAUGUGCCUAGCGGGGUAUGUGCUCCUCCAUCCCAAGCUUUAGUUCUCCCUGUUACGUAUCCUUUGCAGUUCAGGGCUGGCUGACCAUUUUCUGGGGAGAAUUUGGGGGAAGGCUGUCCACCAGAGCAGCAAAUACUCACUGUUUAUGGUACCUGCUAGUGCAUUAAUAUUAUUCAGUCCGACAGUGGCUCCCGCCAGCCCUUGCAGAGUCCCAAGAGAGGUCAGAGAAUUCAUGGCCGCACCAGCACUGGAGUUGGGGGUUGAAGCAGCCACUGAAAAACAAAACAAGACAGGAAAACGGGGAGAGAAAACACAAGAUGAGUGAAGGCCAAGUGGCCCGGAAAGUAAUCGUCCUCUCCACGGCAGCUGGAGCUGGGGGCUGAACCGCGAGCCACGCUUAACGCUUCCCAUCGGAGAGACGCAUGUGGGGCUGUGCUUGGGGGCAAUUCUGGCGGUUAGGUUUGGUGAUUCAAGUAAGCCAUCACAGCUCUGUUCGGCCAGUCAGUGAAUACGCUCACUGCUCGUUAGUGGGGGUGAAUCGGCAAACAGGAGGCCGUCUUCUGGGUAGGCUGCCCCCCACCCCCCCCCCCCCCCCCACCAGCCACAGGAGGGCAGCCUCAGUCCUGCAGGCCGAGGCCUUCUCCUGUUCACCAGUGACUGGCACAGAAGGGGGUAGGGGGUGGGAGUGAAUGGCAGUCCUUGGUUUUCUCACUGUUUCUGCUUCAGACUCAGCAUUUUCUUUUCUCACUGAAAUUCUGAAAAAAAAAAAAAAGAUCCUACAUCUUCCUGAAUUUGACAGAAGACUUCAGGGCCCAGGCAGUGCUGGCAACAGGGUGAGGAGUCGUAGGAGACGAAACCAUUUUGCUCCAAACUCUCUCUUACCCCCCAGCCUUUUAGGUAACAGCUUUACUGACAGAUUACUCACUUGCCAUAAAAUUUGGCCCUUGAAGCAUGCAAGUCAGUGGUUUUAGCAUGUUCGCAGUUAUCCAGCCGCACCACCAUCUAACAGAAUAUUCUUACCCCGAAAAGAAAGCCAUCCUUGUUAGCUAUCAUUCCCCGUUCCCCCCACCACUUCCUGUCUCUAUGAAUUUGCUCAGUCUGGAUAUUUCAUGGAGGUGGACUCACAUAAUUUGUGAUCUUUUGUGACUGCUUCCUUCACUUAGCAAGACGUUCUCAAGAUCCCUCUGUGUAGGACGGGCCAGGAUUUCAUAGCAGAGUAAUACUCUGCUGUAUGAAAACACUGCAUUUUGUGUAUCCAUUCAUCAGUUGUGGACAUUUUGAUUGUUUCAACUUUUGGGCUAGUAUGAAUAAUGAUGCUAUGAACAUCUAACACAAGCUUUUGCAUAGCCAUAAACUUUCAUUUUCAUUUGAGUACACACACACACACACACACACACA